rnacentral:rRNA from 1 species
UACGAAGGGGGCUAGCGUUACUCGGAUUGACUGGGCGUAAAGGGCGCGUAGGCGGCUUGUACAGUCAGACGUGAAAUUCCUGGGCUCAACCUGGGGGCUGCGUUUGAUACGUGCGGGCUUGAGUUCGGAAGAGGGUCGUGGAAUUCCCAGUGUAGAGGUGAAAUUCGUGAGAUAUUGGGAAGAACACCGGUGGCGAAGGCGGCGACCUGGUCCGAUACUGACGCUGAGGCGCGAAAGCGUGGGGAGCAAACAGG